CCUCUCCCUCUCCGAUGACAACAAGGAGGCACUAGGGGGCGUCUGCAAGGUCCUGACCACCAGGGUGGGAGACAUCCUGAACAGUACCUGCAACGACGAUUACAAGGCCAGGCUCAUCAUCCAGAAAGGAUUGGAUUCCGGUGCCAGGGAAAGGUUCCCUGACUCUCCGUGUUCCUCUUCACCCAAGGACGAAGAGGAGGUGGUUGUAAGUGUCAUGACUGUCUCAUACCCUAAACCCUCCACCUCAACCCAGGCAGCAUGGGCAGCUCCUGCCCAGACUCUGGAAGAAGAGGUGGUGGGGGCUGAGGUCUCCAAGAUGAGUGACAGCUCCCUGAUGCCCACCAAGAACAGGCAGGACCCCCUGGAGAAGAUUCCCUCCCUCCUACCAUGCAAGGAGCACAUCCUCCUUUGCAGCACUCCCUGGGCCACCGUCAUGGGCCCCCAGACUCUGAAGUUUAUUCUCCACGGCAUCAUGUGCCGACUGGAGGCCUCAGAGUCCCCCCAGACAAGGAGGGCCAAUGACCCCUUCAGGCUGAUGAAGGAUCUCUUUGUGGAGGUCCAGCAUGCCCUGAAGUAUGCUGACAUCUCUGUCGUCUUUGGCCUGGAGGAGAGCAUCCAAUUCAGUGGGGAGGAUGCGGUGAAUGCCAUCGUGAAGACUGCGGCUAAAAGAUUGUCCCUGCGUUCGGACUCCAACCGGGCUCAACUGCGUGCCGCACGCUCUGGUAGCGAGGGAGCCAUCAGGUGCAUGGCAGACACCAUCACACAAGUCAUAGAUGACUAUUCCGAGGACUGGAGUUUCAAAGGCCAUUUUGGAGCCAGGAGGAGCCGUGGUAGUGGGAGGUCACACUCCUCAACCUCCUCAAGGAGUGACGUCACCCUCACCGAGGAGCUCCUGGCUUGGAGGGAAACCCUAGAAGAGGACCUAGAGGAGAUGGCUGAUGACAGCACUGGUUUGGAAAAGACCAGUGUAAGCUCAGCCAUCUCUGAAAAGUCCCAGGUAAUUAGCUACCUUUCUGAAAGCACCAAGCCCAUCAGCAGCGCCCUCUCCACAGACCUCGAGGACAUCACCUCCACACAGAAGGAAGAGGCUAUGAUGAAAGAAGUGAGGAAGUCAGGAAAGAAGAAGCGAGGAAAUAACAAGAACCAGAAGAAGAACAAGGUGUCGCCUCUUAGCAAUGAUAGUACUGUGGCUGCAGAUGAGCCUAAGAAAAAACAGGCUCUCCUCCCGCGGAUCACAGCCGCCCUGGCAAAACUAUUUUGCUUCCCCUGCAAAAAAAAAUGCAAAUAGUAACUGUGCAGAAGAUGAGUUUGGGAAAACCCUGCUGCCACCUCCCCCAACCCACUUUCUAAAUAAACUCUCAAAGCCAACAGAAGAGGGAGAGAGACAACCCCCCUACUCACAACUCAUUUUAUAACACCCCAUUUAAUUCAAUAAACACAACUUGCAGCUAUUUUGAUGU
rnacentral:lncRNA from 1 species